rnacentral:rRNA from 1 species
AUUGAACGCUGGCGGCAUGCCUUACACAUGCAAGUCGAACGGCAGCACGGGGGCAACCCUGGUGGCGAGUGGCGAACGGGUGAGUAAUGCAUCGGAACGUGCCCCGUAGCGGGGGAUAACCAGUCGAAAGACUGGCUAAUACCGCAUACGCUCCACGGAGGAAAGCAGGGGAUCGCAAGACCUUGCACUAUGGGAGCGGCCGAUGCCCGAUUAGCUAGUUGGUGAGGUAAAGGCUCACCAAGGCGACGAUCGGUAGCUGGUUUGAGAGAACGACCAGCCACACUGGGACUGAGACACGGCCCAGACUCCUACGGGAGGCAGCAGUGGGGAAUUUUGGAC